GUCUCACUCAAUUGCCAAGGUGGCCUCGUCUUGGCCACCCUCCUGCCUCAGCCUCCCCAAUAGCUAGGAUUACAAACUUGCACGGCCCUGCCUGGCGGCUGAUGGCUUUUGAAAGGCACUGUUGAUUAAGAUGAAUCUCAACUUCAGAGAUGUUAGGCUGUGAAAAACUAUGCAUCUUAGGACCAGUGGAAAUGCAGUGGUUCUGUUGGAUUCCAUAAUUAGGGAGGGUGUUUUGCACUUUGAACAUGUUUCUUGAACAUCCUGCUUGCUGGGGAAUGUUCGGAGGCUAUGGUGGUAAACAAGCUGGAUGAUUCUUCUGCCCACAGGGAGCUCACACGGUCGGGAGGAGACACAGUAAAUGAAUAAUUAGAAGAACGAUCGUGCUAUUCUAAGUACAAUGAAGGAACUAAACAGGAGGCUGAGCUGGAGCCUCAUGGUGGGGCAGGUACAUGAUGUACACACACAUUGGUGACAGGCCUUCUUAAAUCUGGCUGAUUUCCAACUAAGUCAACAUUUGGAUUUUGGUGUCAGAGUCAGUGAGAGCUUGAGGAGGGAUCAACUGUCCCAAGGUUUGCCCAGGACCAAGGGGUUUCCCAGGAUGGUGCACUUUCAGUCCUAAAACAGAUAGUCCCAGGCUUCCUGGCACCGUUGGCCACCAUGUGGGAGUCUCAACUUGGUUUCUUUUUAGUUUGAUAUUUUAUGACAGUAAAAAUUAAAAAAAAAAAACCCACAAAUACAAAUUAAUAUUUUAUGACUAUUUCUAUGUCUGAUGAAAUUUGAUACCAGUGACUUUUAUUUUCUUUCAUCUCUCUUAUUUUCAUAAAUUGAAGUAAUUCGAUAGAUAUGAUGAAAAUCUUAUAAUGAAUCCUUAAGGUAUUCAGUCAUUCGACAACACUGAUUAAACUCCUACUAAGAGUCCUUUGUGGGCUACAAUGAUAGGUCAAGGUAGCUCCAAGGGGUGAGAAGUUCUGUACGCAACAGCCUGAAAAGAGUACAGCACAUGCCUGUAAUUAUAGCUGCUCAAGAAAUGGAGGCCCGAGGAUUGCGAGUUCAAGGCCAGCCUGAAGCAACUUAAGGAGACACGGUCUCAAACAUUUAAAAGGGAUGGAGAUGUAGCUCUGUGACAGCAUGCCCCUGGAUUCAAUCCUCCACACAAAUCUAUAUACAGACAUAGACAGAGAUACAGAUGGUCUAGACAUAGACAUAGGUAGAUAGUUAGGUAAGUUAAGGUGGUGGCAUAAAUGGAAUCCACCAAAACCUUCUCUGGGCAAAGUGGGUGGUUGGUAAAGCAUGCUCAGGAGGCUUGGAAAGCUGGUUUGUUUUGUAAUUUUAUUUUACUUUGGAUGGACAAUACCAAUCAGAGGCUCUAAAGAAGAGUAAUUUUCUUUGCCUUUGAAAUAAAUUAAAGGCAAGAGCAACUUUCAUGUUAGGAUUUAUUUUGGUAAAACUGUACCUUUCUGGUUUUUUUUUUUUUAAACUAAAAGACAAGCUGAAGUCUUGCAGCUAUUAGAAACAUAUAUUUUUCCUCUUUAAAACAAUGAACUGCAUGUUCUUGGUUUUCCCUUCAUGCAAGUUGCUACCAUGAGAAGUUAUUUUCUAGUCUGUAUGCAAAUGUGGUGAUCAGGUUGCCAGUGACAUUACAAGGCAAAGGGUCCUUGACUUACGACGUGGCUUGCCUUAGGAUUUUUGGACUUCAUGAUGGUAUAAAAGUGAUAUACAUUCAGUAUAAAUCAUGCUUCAAAUUUUGAAUUGUGAUCUUUUUCCCAGGCUAGUGAUGCGCACUAGAUACUCUCUCACAACACUGGGCGAUGGCAGUGUGCCCACGGCUCCCAGUCAAAUGGAUGACCUGCCACUGAAGCAUCCUCUUCAUCCAGCAAUUACUUUUAGUUCAAGGUUUCAAACAUUCCUCGGUCCCAGGGUGCCUUCCACUGAGCACAACAAUGGUGACACCCAUCCAAGCAUUCCAUUUCCCACAUUCAGUGCAGUAGUAAAUAAAUGAUGUGAGAUAUUCAAGGCUUGAGUAUAAAUGGGCUUUGUGUCCCAUGAUUUUGCUCCACUGUUGGCCCAAGAUUCAUGUGGACUUGCCUCUGAGCCAGGUUAGGUGUAUGAAAUGCAUUUUCUUCUUAUGAUAAAUUUCAUUUAUGAGGACGUAACCCCAUCACAAGUCCAGCAGAACUUGGACUUGUGUUAGUUUUCCCAAGGCUGCCGCGGACCUCAUGCUUGAUCUCUGCUGUUCAGUCUCAGGGUGGAUGCAUACACGACUCAAAUACCUACUAUCAUAUUUUAAGGCUACUGUGUGACUCCUUUCUUUUGUCCUUAAACAACACUUUUCAUUUCAUUUUCUCUCGCGUCUCAUGAGCACACCCUUCCCUCUUUAAGGACCGAUUCUCUUGAAUGCCACAGCCAGUAUCAGAAGUGCUUUUAUCUGGAUCAAGCAAUCAAAAUUUUCACCCGAUCACUCCUGUUGAUUAUUUUUUCAAAAAAGUUGGAAGUUGUCAUCUGGAAAUCAGGGAGGGCAUUAAUUCCUUAACCUCUCCCAAUACUCUAGCUCAUAGAUGGCAAAGAAAUAGAACAGGGAGCUUGAGAGUGUGCGUGUGUGCUGGGAGCGCUAGAAAAGUAGAAUUUGGAAUCAACAUUUCAAUUAGAUAAGGCUGUACAGGCUGAUUUUAUUUGCAAGCUGAACAGCUGAUGUCAAAAAUAGAUUUCCCUUUCUUUCCAAAGUGGGGCCAAGGGCCAGUAAGUGGCAAAAAUAAUCACAUGCCUUUCUUGGACUCCCUACUCCUACCCCAAAGGGUUUUCUUGUGUAGGAACCAACAAUUCCUUGGAGGGGAGCACUGAAUAGGCUAGUCAUUAUUUUGAGAUGUAGGGGACUGCAGAUUCUUGGCAGGGCUCCCUUGUUUUUCUAGAGUAGUAGGCAAUCCUUGGAUAAAAGGCAAAAAGCUGAUCCACGACGCUGGCUCUGGGUCCUUUAUGAACCAAUGGGACAAAUCCAGUGGCUGGCCUGCUCACCUCGCUCUUUGUUUUGUGAGAUAACUUGCUGGUGGCUACAGUGGUGGGGUCCCCGCCCCCCCAAUCUGGGUCUCUUGGAAAACGCCCAGCGCUCCCCCCUUUCCUCUGGGCUGCUAUAGGAAGACCUCGGGGAGAGUCUGCUGGUUGCCAGCCCAGCCACCACCACGGGGUUAGAAAUAGAAGAUUUGCUUGUGGAGCGAGAACAAUCACUCCAUUGUCCGACCCUUUUUUUCUCUUCUCAUGCAAACGCGGGGCUGCUGGGUGGCGCAGCCCGAGGUCCUGUGUCGGGAAGCCUUUGCUCAGGGCUUUCUGCUGCUUCUUGCCUUGGAAAAUUCCAUCCUUUAACACUGGGAUUAUAUGUCACCGUGGCUGAAAUCAUAGACAGAGUCCACUUAAUUCGCUGCGAGCAUGAGAAACAGCCAGAGAGAAUGCGAGCAGAUAGCAUUCCCUCGUACAAAGGGAGGAUUGAACCAGAUACCAUGUGGGACAGUGUUGGUGUGCAUCUCUCACCUCUGGCCCACCUUCCACCUCGGGGCAGCCAGCUCCGAGCAGGUGUGUCACCUCCACAUGCUCCCAUUCUCCUCUGGGCUUCUCUGAGAUGGUUUCCUGGUAUUGGAGUAUGUGCUAUCUGGAAAUCCUCAUGCUCAUCAACAUGAAGUCCUCCAUUUUGCAUUCGUUAUGGCCACUUUGACACAGAAGAAUGUGGAAACUGGAUCUUGUCAGAAUGCAGUUCGGAUGGGGCCAUGUUCAUUCGAGGACUGGACUGGUGGCUGGAGUUUCUGUUCCAAAAGGUGUCUCCACCAUCAUGGAAGGAAGAGGGGUGGCAAGUACUGUCACGGAGGCCCAUGGGAAGUGGGAAAGGUAUGAGCAGAGCCUGCCAAUGGUUGGCUAAUUGUCUCCAAGUGAAAAGACUGAUUCAGAAGAGUUUUAGACUCCCAGGGGCAUAACACCCGUCAUUUCACAAUGGAGAAUUAUUUUUGUGGUAUUUAUUUUAUGAUUCCUGACCCUUGUUCUAAAUCUUGCUGGUGUGUUUUCAUUUAAAAUGUAUUAACUGAAACUUGGCUUAGGGACUUGGCUCCAUUAGGCUCUACAACAGCUUAAUCCAGAUUUUAUUAUACUGGGACUUGUGUGUACGAACUUUAAUAUGAGAGGAAGCUUGGGGAUAAAUAGGGUGAUGUUGAUACUUACUAUGCAUUUAACUCUUUUGGUUCCCUCUUGACAGUUGACUGCAGUGUUUGGGGCUGGAUCUUAAUGUUUUCAAACUGUCGUGACAGUGACUGUAGCUUUCCUAGGGUGAGGGCUAGUCUGGGCCUCUGGGCAGAUGGUAGACUCAGUUCAGAGCUCAAGCCCCGUGAUUGUCUGAGGUCAAUGGCCGUGUGUGGCCCACCUGGUGGGCGUGGGGCCCUGCUGGGCAUCGUGCGGAAGCAGCUCAGGGUUUCCUCCGAACGCGGUGGAACUCCUGUCUCACCACCUCCAUGCCAGCUCCACCCACAGCUCUCACGGUGCCACAGCACUUCCAAAGUGGGCCUCCCCUCAAUCCUACUCCUCCAGUGCACCCCCUUCUGCAAAUGAAGCCUCUGUUCACCCCAUUGAUCCUGCAAUGCUCCCUCCUUGAGCCCUGCAGAGUGGGCUGUAGUCUGUCCACUCCACCUUGACUGACCCACCCCAGUCCAGUACCAAUAGCUCUGAGAGCCACUAAUUUUUGCCUGUCUCCCCCACCUAUUUGUGACUGUCCAUCUGUAGCCUCCUCUUCUAUAGCAGAGGGGCCUCCUCUAUGUAGAACCAAAUCAGCUCAAAAACGUGCCCCAAACCUUCAUUGGCUCCCCACUCGGGUUAGAACUGAAAUGCUUCAUACUCCCCGAAGACCCUGUGUGACCAGCCCUGUUGACUCCCGGCCUCCUCUCAUCCUCCUAUCCCCAUGGCUCAUCCAGCCCCCAUAGUCUUUGCCCCAAGGCAGACUCUACCUGGCCAGUGCCCCUCACCUUCCAGACCACUUCCUCAACGGCGCCUUUCCUGACCGCGUCCUGAUGUAAUGAAACCCAUAUUACACUUUCAUAGAACUGUGUGCUUCUUUUCUGACCUCUAUGGCCUAACCUCCAGACAUAACCCUCUACUCUGCCCAGCUGAGGUCCUGUCAGUCUCUUGUAGGAGGCUGGUAACACAGUUUGUACUUUUGUAUUUAUUGCAGUGACUGAAUUUAACAUCUGUCCCUCCCACCAGACUCUAAGUUCCAUGAGGUUUGGGCCAUGUCUGCUUGGCUCAGAGGUAGAAAUCCAGCAACCUGUGCCUGACACAUGUACAAUAUAUAGUGGUCGGAUCCAUAUAUAAAAAAUCGGCGUGGUUCCUGCCUUCAAGGAAUUAUUAUUUUCACCUGAAAACCCCUAUUGAGCCAUUAUGGUGUCCACUCGUACAGGGAGAAAAAUAAAUCCCUGAAAAAACAAGACCUGCUUGCAGCUUUGUAAAAUAAGGUUGAAAAUUCAAGUUUUGGAAACAUCCAAAGAACUUUUGGAACAGAAACAGGGUCACCGUGAGGUGAGCCCUUCUGUCAUGAUGUUCUGCCUCACCUGGGGCCCAGCGCUAUGGAGUCAGCUAACCGCGGACUGAACCUCUGAAACUGUGAACCACAGUCAACAUUUUCUCCUCUGCGUUGCUCUUGUUGGGACUUCUGGUCACAGUGAUGCAAAGCUGAUCAAAGCACAUGUGGUCUGAGGCAGCUCAUACGUGAAGAAAGCCUUUAGCAAUAAGUUCGAAAAUAAUAAUUUAUAGAAAAUUAGUAAAGGGAAAAAAAAAAGAUAAAGAGUGGAGAGGGUUCUUUGUUCCAUUGCUACUGGUUUAUACUAAAGAGUCAAAUGGGUCACAUUUUCUGUCCAAAAUUCUGUUUUAACAAGAACAUAUAUAAUGCCAUUAAUUUAAAACGGUGAGUUUUUGCCCUAGACUGAGUGUUGGUCCCCUGCCAAUUUGUAUGUUGAAGGCCUAAUCCCCAGUGUGAAGGUACUUGGAGAUGGGCAUCUUUGGGAGGUGAUUAUUUCAUGAGGAUGCACCCCUCCUAAAUAGAAUUAGUGCCCUUUUAAAAGAGACUCUGGACAGUUCCCUUGUACCUUCCUCCAUGUCAAGAUACAAUGAGGAGUCGGUAGGCUUUAAGCUGGAAGAGACCCCUCACUAGAACUAGACCCAGUUGGCACAGCAAUCUCAGACUUCCAACCAGCAGAGCUGUGAGAAGUACACGUCUGUUGUUCAUAAGCCACCCAGUCUACAGUGCUUUGUUACAGUAACUCAAAAGGACAAAGACAGUCUAUAAACCACCAAGGAGAGAAAGCAGGUUUUCCAAAAGGAGGCACAAAGUCUUCUUCAUUAGCCUCUCUAGUAAUGAGCUAUUCAGAGCAAAAACUUGACAAGUCAUGGAGAAUCUAGAUAGGCCUCAGGAGACUGAGUCCUGAGCUUAAAUCCCCCAGAGGGAUUCCACCAGGAUAACAGAGUGAACUUUCCUGGCCUUGGCCUCUAGCAGGAUUCUCCAGUUUCCUAAGCACAUCUUUGUUACUUUAUGCUGUGGAAAUGGGAAGGGGAUUUUCUCAAGACUUCUAGUGUGACUCUCUGACUUCAAAAUGGAGCUGAGAUCAUAAACACCUGAACAGUUAUAUCCCAAGGGGUUGAGGAGGCACAGCUCAUAAACAGUCCAUUCUAAAGCCAGACCCACGAUCUCCACUGGAACAUCAGAUCCCGCUGCCAAUCCACCUUCUACAUGCGCCUCAUUCCCAACGUCUGUGUUGUGGUCUCAUUGUUGUGAAUCCCCCAUGGUUUCUCCAACUACUCCCACAUCCCACAUCCCCCUAACUGUCCAGUAUGAAAAGACACUGGAGUAGCUGACCUUUUGGAGAAUGUUGGACCUCUUGGUCCUCUACCCUGCCUCCCCUGCCCAUCACAGAAUUCUGAGCCUUUCUGGGCUGUACAUGGGCAUGAGUUGGGUGGUUUUGAGACCAAAGUUGAGAAACUAAAGCAUUUAGACCUUCACAACUACUCACCACACAGAAGAUGAUUCCCUUUCAUUUGUUGUACAAGAGUGUGUCUGAAAUGUGGAACACCAUCUUUCCUGUUCCUUGAGAUACUGCCCUGGGCUUUUGUUAGCAUCAUUAUUUUCUUUUUGGAGCACAAAGUACUUAUACAGAAUGAUUUAAUUAUGUUUUAGCAACUCUCAAUGAGAAAGAUCUAGUACCAAAAGUAGGUCCCAUUUUAAGCAAAGGCCAUAUGCAACUAUUUCAUCCCAUUUUUAACUCAUAUAGUCUUGCUAUAUUUUAAGCAAUUUUAUAAAUUGCCUCCAAUCCUUUCAGCAACUCGGAAGCAUGUAUAAAUAGCAAAAUAUAUAUGCACAUACACACAGAGAUCUGAAUUCAUUGAGAGCAAACAUAUGAAAGAUAAAGUACUGGAAUUAAGACCACAAAAUUAGGCCCUGAAAUAAUAUUUCCUCUUGUACUUCUUGUACUAGUGAAAAAAGAGUAUGUACCAUUUUCCCACCCUCUCCCCCAAAAUUUUUAGUUAAGGAGCCACAAAUAACGCAAAUGUGAUUGCACCUGUGAUCUGCUGGAGACACAGCUCAUUCAAGAUGGAAGGGUGUGAAUUCCCAGGGCCUUGCCCCCUCCAUCUGCUGUGUGGGAAGAAGGCAUUUGAUUCCUAUGUUUUCCCCUUUGGUGUUGCUGUAUGCAUUUGCCUCAAAGGAGGCCACCUGCUUAUAGUCUUCUCUAACUGCAGGGUUCAAACAGCUACCUCCCUUUCUUGAGCGUUGGAAUGGGUAGAUUUAUGAAUGGCACAGAUGGAGAAAUAAAUUAACUUUAGUACAGAUGCUGGCAUUGAUAUUCUUGGGACUGAACUGCUUCCAAGCCAGAAAUAAUCCUCGAGCUUGCAAAAUAGGGAAGUCUGAAGCAAUUUUACUGUUCUCGUCAGAUGGCUGGAUGUGGUACAAAGCUCACUGGAAAAAAUUAAUGGAAAAGUGUGCGCCACUCAGGUGGCUUGAUGUGAAUCGCUCCCAGACGAGGUGCACAACUGUGUCGCCAGGAUUUUCUACUAAGCUGUCAGAAGAGUUCUUUGGAAUUGGAAACAUCGACAAUUGAUUAGAAGAUUCUGGGCCUCCCAAAAUUGUCUACAAAGGCUCAUUGUUUGUUCAUUCAAUAAAUACUGACUGAGAUAAGUGAAGUGAGGCAAGACCCCUGCACUCACACCGCAGGGGCUGCUGGGUGGGGGGAAUGUGGAGAAGGCUGAAGGGAGGAAGGCUGCCCUAGGAAGAGGCAUCUGAGCUGUCUUAGGAGACAGAGGGAGGGAAGCAAAUGCAUCCCUGGAAGAAAGGACAGCGAGAACAAAGACUCAGGUGUGUGGAAACAACUUUAAGAAGCAGGAGGGGAGACUUGAGAAAGCUGGGCCAGAUUGCAAAAGGGUCUAUCUAGUUCCUGCAGAAAUCGAAAAACAACGAUGCAAAUACACCAAGAUGUUGGAAGGAUAAUUAAAUCUUUUUUUGUAACCAUAUGGGAUGUAGAAGUACAUAAACGUGUGUGCGUGAGCGCGCGUGUGCGUGAGCACGCACAUGUGCAAACACACAUCUGUAUGUUCACCGAGCAUUUCACACAUGGUAAAUAACGAGCGAAAUUAGUUUCCUUGUACAGUAACUAAGGGACUUAUCUUACUUUUACUGAAUUACCCAGGAGGUACUUAGCAAGGGGAAAGCGCCAGAGAAAAUGUAGAAGGACCAGUAAAGACCUUCCUGGGAGGUCAAGUCAGAGACUGUGGAAGCUGUGGGUGCUCUUGACCAAAUCGGAGAGGGAGGACGGCUUCCACUGUUGUUUGUUUGGAUAUGGUUUGAGUGUCACCCAGUGUCCCGGUGUUGGGUGCUUGGUCCCUUAGUGGUGGGUGCAGAAAUGGGGUGCACUUUAAGAAGGGGGCCUGGGUCACUUAGGUCAUUGGGGCAGCUGCACUCAGAAGUGAUCAAGGUAUCAUUCAUGUGACCCUUAAGCUGUCACGAGAGCGACUUGGUAAUAAAGUCAUCUCAACACCUGAAUCAUCUUCUGGCCUCCUGCUUCCAGAUACAACCUCUUCACCAUUGGGCCCUCGUCAAAGCCAACCCAGUGUGUCCAACAAAGAUGAAACCUUUGAUGACCAUUUUGUAGUCCAGAGUUUAGUGGACAGAUGGGUCAGUGUGCUAGAGUGGUGAACGGAGCUGGCUUGCAAGAUCCGAUGGUGAUCUUUUCAAGAAUUUCAUGAGCUAUUGUUACAAUUUACAAUUUAAAUUUCAUAAAAAUUACAAGUAAAUAUAUUUGUU